UUGGGCGGGGGAGCGGAUCAGCAGGACCACUGGAUAGCCGAGGGAGGGGAGAGAGAGAGAGAGAGAGAGAGCAGAAGGCGAGGGGGACGAGGUGAGAAUGAGCCGGAGCCAGGGACUCCCGGUGAAGCCUCAGCAAGAGACGGCCAGGCACGUGGUGAGGGUGGAGCUCAAGAGCGGCGUGCUCUAUUGGGGAAUCAUGAUCGAGGGCGAGGACAACUGGAACUGCCAGCUCUGGAAUAUCAUUUGCACCGCCAAGGUCCUCUUUUUUUAACUCUGCUACCCCUCUAGAUCUUCUCUUUCCCUCUUUGGUUUUGAUCUACUGUCGUCGUUCGACUCCAAGAUCGCAAUGUUCAUGUUUUAAGACGCAUGUCUGCAUGUGAUGACAGUAAUUGAUCUCAAAUAGUUCCUGUGUUUCUAUGGCUUCAAUACUUUAGGAGUUACUGUAAAUGUUCUUUUUUGUUGGUUGAGUUGUGAUGGGAAGGGAAAGUGUCACGACUGGAGUAUGUUUUUGUCCGACGAAGCUAAGGUAAGGUAAAUUGAUGGUACCCAACUUGUUAUCGCAUGCUUGAAUCCAUUGAAUGCAGUCUGCGUGGGAUCACUUUGUUUGUGGUUGUGUUAGCACAGGUUUAUGGUGCUGAAGAAUGUUCAAGCGUGGGAUCACAAUGUUCAAGCGUCUUGAUGCGAGAAUUAGAGUGAGAUAGGUGUUGCCUAUCAUAGUCUUCUUGUUUUCCUCCUUCAAUUCUUAAGUUACAUGAUUAUGAUUACUUCUUCAUUGAGGGCAAAGGAUCAACAAGAGCCUAGCUGCUUCUUGGUGCCCAUGUAUCCUUAAUGCUGCUUCUUGGUGCCAACAAGAGAGCCAAGAGCCUAGCUGCUGGGAGCUAUGACUUGUGUGUUGAAGAUCAAGGCCGGCAUGCUGCCCAAUUGUAGUGACAACAAUCAUGAAUGGUGCGAACAAUCUGAGCUUGUGACAGAGAAUGUAUUGGACAGCACUGAUAAAUACUUUGGAUGAGACAGUUGAUAUCCAUGUUGAUGAAAAGAAAAGAAAAGAGGACUCGAAAGCAAUACCUUCCAUGGGCAUUUGUCUCUGCAGGCUUCUGGCCAACAAAUAUGGAGGCAUCUUGACUACUAUCAGUGCGCAUAAGAUGAUGAUAGGUCAAUGUGCUGCAACCUCAAAGGUCUGGGAUUCACUACUGCAAGAGUUGUGCCGCGCCCUCAGAUGUUCUCUCCAGGUGGUAAUUCUGGAAGCUUAGGAGAAGUUCCAAGCACCCUUUCCAUGUCGAAGCGGACUUCAAUAUUGCGAAUGCUAUAGCCAACUACCAUCAUCCAAAAUAGCAGAUUGGCAAGUUGAGAAGCGCUUGUUUCUGUCAUCGACGUCUACGGCAAUAAUAAGCAGUUACUUGAGUAUCACUCUAUAAAACA